GUUUUUUGUAACUUCAAAUGUUAUAACUUUUCCAAUUCUUAUCAAAAUGUAUACAAUUUGGUUUAAAAAAAAAGAUAUGAAAAAGACAAGGCACCUACAACACCUAGCUUCAGUUAUCAAAUGUUGGUGGUAAUUUUUGUUAUGCCACUGUGAAAGCGUCGAUUGUUAAGUAGACAUAAAAAGUUUGAAGUAUGCACAAAGCCUGAAAGUGUCAAAUAUGGAACCUAAAAAAACCUGCCUUUGCCACUGACUGUAUAAAGGUUUUUUAAGGUAAGAGCUUAAAUAAAUUAACAGAAAAAAAAUA